ACCAACAUCUGCACACUCGCUGACGAUCGAGACAGAUUUUUCAGAGAAACUAUUUGGAAAAGUUCACCGCUAUAACUUAAUUCUUCCAGAAUCAUCUUGAAGGAUAGAAGAUACUGGAUAUAACUUUCCAACAACACGUUCCGUUGGUGGGACGCAGUGUGUUGGCAAAUGAGGUGGAGCACCUGACUGUAACAGACUUCCCCUGACUGCUCUGUGUGUCUAGAUCAAAGACGUAUGGCAAGCUCAUCAGCAAUUAUUACAAAUCCCAUAUUGGAGCAUCACUGUAGGGCAGGGGUGUCAAACUCAUUUUAGCUCAGGGGCCACAUGGAGGAAAAUCUAUUCCCAAGUGGGCCGGACCGGAAAAAUCAUGGAAGCUGCUGGCUUUGGGAGGAGGGUGCUGGUCCUUGACUAGGUGGCUCCCACUCCUAAAGGCACUACAUGGGGUCUAGGUGGUUCCAGUAUUCUCAGGAAGCUCCUGCACCAAGCCUCCCUGCUGGGAAAAGCUAUCCAUAUCACACAGCAGAGACACUCGUCAUUGCAACAGGGGACAGGGCACAAUACCUGAACAUACCUGGAGACAGAGAGCACUGCAUCACCAGUGAUGACUCGUUCUCUCUGGCCAAUUCCCCUGGGCGGACCCUGGUUGUGGGGGGGGAUCCAGUGAGGGGCUGGAGUGUGCUGGCUUCCUGUCUGGUCUGGGUUUAUAAUAUAAUAUAAUAUGCCACUUAGCAGACGCUUUUAUCCAAAGCGACUUACAGUCAUGCGUGCAUCC